rnacentral:rRNA from 1 species
GACAGAGGAGCCAAGCGUUGUCCGGACUGACUGGGGCGUAAAGCGCCCGCAGGCGGCCGUGCGCGUGGGGGUGUGAAAGCUCUCGGCUUAACUGAGAGAGGCCAUCCCAUACGGCACGGCUCGAGCCGUCCAGAGGCCGGUGGAAUUGCCGGUGUAGUGGUGAAAUGCGUAGAGAUCGGCAGGAACACCCAGGGGGGAAACCAGCCGGCUGGGGGACGUGCUGACGCUCAGGGGGCGAAAGCGUGGGGAGCAAACAGGG